AACGAACGCUGGCGGCAUGCCUAACACAUGCAAGUCGAACGAGACCUUCGGGUCUAGUGGCGCACGGGUGCGUAACGCGUGGGAAUCUGCCCUUGGGUUCGGAAUAACAGUUAGAAAUGACUGCUAAUACCGGAUAAUGUCUUCGGACCAAAGAUUUAUCGCCCAGGGAUGAGCCCGCGUAGGAUUAGCUAGUUGGUGAGGUAAAGGCUCACCAAGGCGACGAUCCUUAGCUGGUCUGAGAGGAUGAUCAGCCACACUGGGACUGAGACACGGCCCAGACUCCUACGGGAGGCAGCAGUGGGGAAUAUUGGACAAUGGCGAAAGCCUGAUCCAGCAAUGCCGCGUGAGUGAUGAAGGCCUUAGGGUUGUAAAGCUCUUUUUACCCGGGAUGAUAAUGACAGUACCGGGAGAAUAAGCCCCGGCUAACUCCGUGCCAGCAGCCGCGGUAU
rnacentral:rRNA from 1 species